rnacentral:rRNA from 1 species
UAGGGAAUCUUCCGCAAUGGGCGAAAGCCUGACGGAGCAACGCCGCGUGAGUGAUGAAGGUCUUCGGAUUGUAAAACUCUGUUAUUAGGGAAGAACAAACGUGUAAGUAACUGUGCACGUCUUGACGGUACCUAAUCAGAAAGCCACAGCUAACUACGUGCCAGCAGCCGCGGUAAUACGUAGGUGGCAAGCGUUAUCCGGAAUUAUUGGGCGUAAAGCGCGCGUAGGCGGUUUUUUAAGUCUGAUGUGAAAGCCCACGGCUCAACCGUGGAGGGUCAUUGGAAACUGGAAAACUUGAGUGCAGAAGAGGAAAGUGGAAUUCCAUGUGUAGCGGUGAAAUGCGCAGAGAUAUGGAGGAACACCAGUGGCGAAGGCGACUUUCUGGUCUGUAACUGACGCUGAUGUGCGAAAGCGUGGGGAUCAAACA